UUUAAAAUGGUGCCAGGGAGAUUCUGCUUGGUAGGACUUCAGUUUGAACCCAUCUCAGUUCCUUUUCUAGAAUCCCACAGAACAUCAGCUGGCCAAUACAUUACAAAAGCAAGCUCUUUGUGUUCAGAAGAGGGAAGAAAGAGGAAGAAUACUUAUUCUCAAAAGACAUGACAAAGUUUAUUUGAGAAUGCAAAAGUGAAGAGUGGAAAAAACUGGCUCUGCAGAGCAAGCUUGGGCUGAGUAAAGAGAAAAAGAGGAUUAAAAACAAAAAUAAAAGUAUACUUCGCACCUGGGAAAUGCAGCAUGGGCUAUCACCGAAAGUUACAACAGCCUAGAGUUUUAGUGUUUUGAGAUGAGUUCUGGAUAUUGGCUGUACAACAACAUGAAUUUACAUAAACACCACCAAAC
rnacentral:lncRNA from 1 species